GGAAAAUUAAAACACAUAAAGAUAAAGCAAAAUCUAGAAGCUUCAGUCAGACCCCUUAGUAGCCAAAGAACCAAAACGGCACAAACCCUCCCUUGCUUCACAUGAACUGAGUAAAUCAUUGGGUAAGGGAUUGAGGUUAACUUGCGAUAGAUCAGAAUGUCCUCAAUCCAAAAGCAAAUAAGGGGAAUGGGAUGUCUACAAUGGUUGAUGGAAACGGCGGUCAGAAUCUGUCAACUCUGUAGCUUUUAUCGAUGUGUCUUCAACCCAAAAGCAAUUCUCAAGCCUCUUCAUACCUUCCUUCGCGCAUGUGCAACUAUGUUUCCUUCACGUGCGAUGAACUCGAAUCGACAUGAUGAGAAAUUUCUUGCCAAUGCCUUCACAUCCCAAAUAAUCGAUCGAAUCUCUGUGUAGUCUUCCUCUGGUGAGAUGAUAUUUUUUAUGACAAUCUUUGAGUCACUUUCCAUGAUAAUUUCCAUGAACCCCAUUUCUGAUGCGAAUUGGAUUCCAUGGAGCAGUGCGGUCUCUUCUACCAUUGCCGUUGAUUUUACAAGGUUAUGGACUUGAAACCCAAAUCCCAUUAUAUGGCCUUAUUCUUUUCUUAUAAUAAAACCCGAUGUUGUUAUCUAUUUUGCAACCGAAAACCUAGCAUCAACUUUGACCUUUACCUAACUUGAUGGAGGGGGAUUCCAGCAUAUCAUUUCUCUAGGCCUGGGGUGUUGUCAGAGUUGACGAUAAAUCUCGAUGUUCUCUCCCAUAGCCUCUGAUGAAGGUAAUCACUUCUUCCACGCUCUGCUCUCUUUUCUCAUGUAACAAUUUGUUUCAAGAAAACCAGAGAGCCCAAAUUGUAAUAGUGAUUUAAUCUUUCUUGUUACUGGCCAAGUUUUCGAAGAGCCAGCUUAACCACUCAUUAAAACUUGAAUCUGCAACUAAAACUGGCAAUUGAUAGUUUAAUCUCAACCAUACUUGUUUAGCAAAUAUGCAAUCACAGGAAACAUGAACAUUUUGACUCACUAUAAUCACGACAACGCAAACAACGAUUAUCUGUUAUGUCUUUGAAUGCCCAUUUUUGUUUCUGCCCACAAUUGAAGGGAGUCGAAGAUAUCUUUUGAGAUUAAUGCUGGAGUUAACUCCCAAAAUUCUGCACACAUUUGCCCUAUUUUCCUAGCUUACGUUAGAACUGAAAAACAAACUCGAUUUGUCAAAAUUUAUUAAUUGCCCUGAGCCCCUUUAGAUGUGGCCUAGCUCUUUCCGUCGUGGCCUCUCCAAAAAUCAGACUACCAUCCACAAAAAGUAAGUGGUUGAUGAGCGGGGCAUGUCUAUUUACAUGAACCCCCUUAAGAUCACCAUUUGUGGAGGCCAUUUUUAAGAGAGUUGAUAGACCCUCACUACAGAUGAGAAAUAAGUAGGGGCUGAGUGGGUCACCUUGUCUAAGUCCACGGGUAGGAGUGAAUCUUUCGCGUCUCUCUCCAUUUACUACCAGAGAAUAA
rnacentral:lncRNA from 1 species